rnacentral:misc_RNA from 1 species
UUUAAUUUAAUUUAAAAAUUAAAAAUUUUAAAUUAAAGAUUUCUUAAUUUAAGUUAAAAAUUAAAGUUUAAUUUAUUUUUUUAAUUUUUUGAUUUAAUUUAAAAAUAAAAAUUAAAUUAAAUUUAAAUUAAAAAUUUUGAGUUAAUUAACAUAAAAAAUUAAUAAGUUAAAUUAAAUAUUUUUAAUAAAUAUAAAAGUGAAAUUAAAUAUUAAGCGUAAAACAAACACGGCCGUAGCUUUUGUUGUCCUAUUAUUAGCGUAUUUUAGCAGAUGGUGACGUGAUUCUCCUAAUAUGACCAGGAGGGCACAUUAACCCAGCAG